rnacentral:rRNA from 1 species
AACGAACGCUGGCGGCAUGCCUAACACAUGCAAGUCGAACGGGACCUUCGGGUCUAGUGGCGCAGGGGUGCGUAACGCGUGGGAACCUGCACUUAGGUUCGGAAUAACUCAGAGAAAUUUGAGCUAAUAACGGAUGAGGUCUUCGGACCAAGGAUCUAUCGCUUUUUGGUGGGCCCGGGUUGGAUUCGCGAGUUGGUGGGGUAAAGGCCUACCAAGGCGACGAUGCAUAGCUGGUCGGGGAGGAUGACACGCCACGCUGGGGAUGCGGCACGGCCCAGACUCCGACGGAAGGCAGGGGUGGGGAAUAUUAGACGAUGGGCGAAGGCCUGAUCACGCAAUGCCGCGGGAGUGAUGAAGGCCUUAGGGUUGUAAUGCUCCUUUACCCGAGAUGUUAAUGACAGUAUCGGGAGAAUAAGCUCCGGCUAACUCCGUG